CAGUCAACCGCAAAGUACACACGCUUUUGUUUGUUUUGUUAAUUAAAUUACCGACCGCUUAUACUCACCUACGUUUGUUUCUUACAUACGUUCGUUUAGCCGAAAACGUACGAACAACUUUUUUCAUACAAUCUUUCGUUUGCUCCUAAUUCUAACUAUCGCAUGCGGUACUGUCAUAUCCCUCUCGCAUAUUCAGUUAACCGAAUGCAAGAGGUUUCAAGAAUUUAUUUUCUAAUAUAAGUUAAGUAUGUUCCUGUAACAGAACUAUGAUCUCUGCCUGGGCAUAUUUAACCAUACGUAAGCCUGGGAAUACAAAAGAACAUACUUGCCUGUUUAUGUGGAUUGCUAUAACACUAAAAACGAAUGCAAAU